rnacentral:snRNA from 9 species
UGGCUUUCUUGGUGGGUGAGACACCAUUGCCAAGAAGGUGAUUUCCCCAGAGUGAGGCUCAACUCCUGCACUCUGGGCGUGCUGGCUCUUCUGACUUUCUCAGAUGUAGGAAACUCAGCUGCAUAAUCUGCAGGGGAGGACUGUGUUUAUGCUUUCUCCUA